UCUCUCAGAUUCUCUGUCUCUCUCUCUCUCGAUCACGACAAUGUCCGGCGCUCGCUCGACUCAGACUCCUGCUUAUUCUCCACCAGCGGCCUCGUCAAGUUCGGCUCCUCCGGUGGCUUCGCUGAGUAGCUAGCGAGAUGGAGCAGAAGUUGACACUCGAGACGACGACGGCCGUGGCUGUUGUGCCGCCGGCGUCGUCGAUUCCGCAGAGACUGGGGUUCAGGACGGUCGGUAAGAAAAUUCAAGUCAGAGCCAAUCACUUCCUGGUGCAGGUUGCAGACAGAGACCUCCACCAUUACGAUGCAAGUUUUUAUUUUUCUUUUUAAUUGCAAAAAUAUUUUAUUCAUGUAAAUUUAUGCUUUUACUGCACCUGCGGAAAAUUUUGUUUAUGCGGUAUUCUAUUUCUGAGUUAAAAUGAUGAGAGAAGGUGGUGGUUUUUUUUUCCUCAUAUUCUGAAGAAAAUGAAGUUUCAUCACACUUGAAUAAUCCUUGAUUGCCAAUGUACGUAGAGUUUUUGACAUUUAUAUGUAUCUGAAAUAGGUUACCAACUUACCAUUACCCCAGAAGUUGCAUAAAAAAAAUCCACAGGGAUGUGAUGAACCAACUGGUUCGUUUGUAUUCCGAGACGCAAUUAGGCAAGAGAAUUCCUGCUUAUGAUGGCAUGAAGAGCCUCUAUACAGCAGGGCCAUUGCCAUUUUCCUCCCAGGAGUUUGUUGUCAAAUUACUUCCAAAUAUAAUGAUGGUCGACUGGUCGUGCUGCAGGGUCUUCAACUUCUUCGAAAAGAAAGGAUCGAGAAUUUAAGGUGGCUCUCACUUUGGCUAAUAAGCCAGACCUUUAUCAACUACAACAGUUCUUGCGCAGCCACCAUGUUGAAACACCUCAAGAGGCAAUACAAGUUCUUGAUGUUGUUCUUAGAGCUACACCAUCGGAAAAGUACACUGUUGUUGGGAGGCAGGGCCGGCUCUGAGCAGGUGCAUUGAGUGCGACAGCACAGGGCCCCGAAUUGAGAGGGCCCCAAACUUUUUUCUUUAAGCCUUUAUGUUUGCAAGAUUGAAUAUAUCAAUACUAGAAUUCAGACACGGAACACUAACACUGAUAUGAAAUAGGGCCUCAGAUUUUAUAUUUUUAUAUCUAUUUAUAUAAACAAUAAGCCUUAAAAGAAAAAAUAGGGCCACAUACACUAAAUCCUUAUCCUCUGCUCUUAGUUUUUCGCAUUCACUUUCUCCUCUACAAUAAUAUAAUUAGCUAGUUAGUUUGGUACGUACCUGAUGCCAUGGCUAGGGCCCUCAAUUCUCAUCGACCCCUUUCCCUAUUCCCAUCGAUCUCUUCUAUCCUUUUUCUUUCUCUAAUUGCUCUAAAAUAUCCCAGAUUAGUUCUCUCCCACUUCAAGUCUUCAUUCUUCAAUCAGUGAUUUAGAGGCAAAAUGAAGCUCAUCAGUAAUCCCUACACCCUAGUCAUGACUCAGGCCUAGCAAUCUUCUGGAAAUUGAGAAAUGUAAAUCAAGGAUUGGAGAGGUCAAGGAGUGAGGAAACUCAAGAGUCUCAUGCUAUACUUUGAGUCUUUGUUCUUCAGAGAAUCAGGUUUCUCAUAACACAUUGAUUUGCUUGGAUUGUCUGGUGAUGCUGUGUUAAAAUUUAGAAGCAUGCAGAUCAAAUGGACUAGCUUUGAAAAUUCAAUUGUGAUAAACUAAUUGAUGAUUUUGCAGCUAAGAAGGCAAGUAGAUUGAUUUUCAAAUGAAAGCCUGAUGCUGAUAUAUCAAUCGACACUUUGCUAGAAGAAUGUGUUAUUUUGAGGGUUUUAUGUCAGAUCUUUUUGUAAUUUUUUUUUUUGCUGCAAAUUUUUCAUUUGUAUUGAAUAUUUGGCCUCUUUUGUAGGCUCAUCUAAUGAGGUAUAAUUGAUUAGACAUUGUUGGA